AAGAAAGAGUCGUACGACUUUGGACCGUUAUGGGAGAAAGAACGUCAUCCGGGUUUCAAAACCACAUGAGGGAACCCGAGAAUGAAUUCAGAUGCACCUGAAAAUAGGAGUUGGUAAUCAUAUUACUGAAACUGACUCCUUUACUACUCGUGAACUGCAUUGCCGGAAAUUGACAA